rnacentral:rRNA from 1 species
AGGCAAAACACAUGCAAGUCGAGCGGUAGAGAGAAGCUUGCUUCUCUUGAGAGCGGCGGACGGGUGAGUAAUGCCUAGGAAUCUGCCUGGUAGUGGGGGAUAACGUUCGGAAACGGACGCUAAUACCGCAUACGUCCUACGGGAGAAAGCAGGGGACCUUCGGGCCUUGCGCUAUCAGAUGAGCCUAGGUCGGAUUAGCUAGUUGGUGAGGUAAUGGCUCACCAAGGCGACGAUCCGUAACUGGUCUGAGAGGAUGAUCAGUCACACUGGAACUGAGACACGGUCCAG